ACGAACGCUGGCGGCGUGCUUAACACAUGCAAGUCGAACGCUGAAGCCUAGCUUGCUGGGUGGAUGAGUGGCGAACGGGUGAGUAACACGUGAGUAACCUGCCCUCUUCUUUGGGAUAACGCCCGGAAACGGGUGCUAAUACUGGAUAUUCACUGAUCUUCGCAUGGGGGUUGGUGGAAAGGUUUUUUUCUGGUGGGGGAUGGGCUCGCGGCCUAUCAGCUUGUUGGUGGGGUGAUGGCCUACCAAGGCUUUGACGGGUAGCCGGCCUGAGAGGGUGACCGGUCACAUUGGGACUGAGAUACGGCCCAGACUCCUACGGGAGGCAGCAGUGGGGAAUAUUGCACAAUGGGCGAAAGCCUGAUGCAGCGACGCCGCGUGAGGGAUGGAGGCCUUCGGGUUGUAAACCUCUUUCGCUCAUGGUCAAGCCGCAACUUAGGGUUGUGGUGAGGGUAGUGGGUAAAGAAGCGCCGGCUAACUACGUGCCAGCAGCCGCGGUAAUACGUAGGGCGCGAGCGUUGUCCGGAAUUAUUGGGCGUAAAGGGCUUGUAGGCGGUUGGUCGCGUCUGCCGUGAAAUCCUCUGGCUUAACUGGGGGCGUGCGGUGGGUACGGGCUGACUUGAGUGCGGUAGGGGAGACUGGAACUCCUGGUGUAGCGGUGGAAUGCGCAGAUAUCAGGAAGAACACCGGUGGCGAAGGCGGGUCUCUGGGCCGUUACUGACG
rnacentral:rRNA from 1 species